rnacentral:sRNA from 1 species
AUAGUUUCUAAUUGAUUAACCGAACGAUAUUCAUCA